rnacentral:tRNA from 1 species
AAGGUUUUAAGUUAAUCUUAAACUAUCAACCUUCAAAGUUGAAAUUGCUAAAUUAAGUAAAUCUUA